rnacentral:rRNA from 1 species
GACGAACGCUGGCGGCGUGCUUAACACAUGCAAGUCGAACGGGCCUGUCUUCUUUUUUGGGGGUGGGUUGAGUGGCGAACGGGUGAGUAUCACGUGAGUAACCUGCCCUUCGGUCCUGGAUAACCGCUUGAAAGGGCGGCUAAUACGGGGUGGUCCGGUUGGUCCGCAUGGGCUGGUCGGGAUAGAUUCACUGUUUUUGGUGUUUCGGCGGGGGAUGGGCUCGCGGCCUAUCAGCUUGUUGGUGGGGUGAUGGCCUACCAAGGCGGUGACGGGUAGCCGGCCUGAGAGGGUGGGCGGCCACACUGGGACUGAGAUACGGCCCAGACUCCUGCGGGAGGCAGCAGUGGGGGGUAUUGCACAAUGGGCGGAAGCCUGAUGCAGCGACGUCGCGUGAGGGAUGGAGGCCUUCGGGUUGUGAACCUCUGUUUCCGGUGGUGAAGGCCCUGUCCGUGUGGUGGGGUUGACGGUGGCCGGGGAUGAAGCGCCGGCUAACUACGUG